GACGAACGCUGGCGGCGUGCCUAACACAUGCAAGUUGAGCGACGAACCAGGGCUUGCCCUGGGGCAAAGCAGCGAACGGGUGAGUAACACGUGGGUAACCUACCCCGAUAACCGGGACAACCCGAGGAAACUCGGGCUAAUACCGGAUGUGCUCACUGGACUUCGGUUCAGUGCGUAAAGGAAGCUUCGGCCUCCGUAUCGGGAGGGGCCCGCGGCCCAUUAGUUUGUUGGUGAGGUAACGGCUCACCAAGACCGCGAUGGGUAGCUGGUCUGAGAGGACGAUCAGCCACACUGGGACUGAGACACGGCCCAGACUCCUACGGGAGGCAGCAGUGGGGAAUCUUGCGCAAUGCGCGAAAGCGUGACGCAGCAACGCCGCGUGGGGGAAGAAGGCCUUCGGGUUGUAAACCCCUUUCAGGAGGGACGAAGGUUCGGCGGUGAAUAGCCGUCCGGACUGACGGCACCUCCACAAGAAGCCCCGGCUAACUACGUG
rnacentral:rRNA from 1 species